rnacentral:rRNA from 1 species
AAUCAACGCUGGCGGCGUGCCUAACACAUGCAAGUCGAACGAGAAAGUGGAGCAAUCCAUGAGUACAGUGGCGACCGGGUGAGUAACACGUGACCAACCUGCCCUCGAGUGGGGAAUGACUCCGGGAAACCGGAGCUAAUACCGCAUAACAUCGCAAGAUCAAAGCAGCAAUGCGCUUGAGGAGGGGGUCGCGGCUGAUUAGCUAGUUGGCGGGGUAACGGCCAACCAAGGCGAAGAUCGGUAUCCGGCCUGAGAGGGCGCACGGACACACUGGAACUGAAACACGGUCCAGACUCCUACGGGAGGCAGCAGUGGGGAAUUUUGCGCAAUGGGGGAAACCCUGACGCAGCAACGCCGCGUGGAGGAUGAAGUCCCUUGGGACGUAAACUCCUUUCGACCCGGACGAUACUGACGGUACGGGUGGAAGAAGCACCGGCUAACUCUGUGCCAGCCGCCGCAGUAACAC